rnacentral:ncRNA from 1 species
UUCUUGUCUUGGCUCAAAAUUGUCAUCAAUCCCAUCAGGACUGGUUGGUCUCUUUGACCUGGUGCUCGAUUGGCAGGAGUAACUGACUCUCUUAAAGUAGCCAAAUGCCUCGUCACCUAAUUAGUGACACACUUGAAUAGAU